rnacentral:rRNA from 1 species
GUCACACGGGAACUGCCGGUCAUAAACCGGAGGAAGGUGGGAUGACGUCAAGUCAGCAUGGCCUUUAUAUCCUGGGCUACACACACGCUACAAUGGAAGGGACAAUAGGUUGCGAAGCCGCGAGGCGGAGCCAAUCCAGCAAAACUUCCCUCAAGUUCAGAUUGCAGGCUGCAACUCGCCUGCAUGAAGUUGGAGUUGCUAGUAAACGCAGGUCAGCCAUACUGCGUUGAAUACGUUCCCGGGGCUU